rnacentral:lncRNA from 1 species
CGUUUAUGGGGUCCCCGCACAGAGAAGGUUUCCCCUGUCGCGGGUUUCCACUCUACCGGUGGCGGGAGUCCUAGACGAUCCCCUGGUCACACGGCCCCUCCCCCACUCCUUCCCAGACCCGCGCGGUGAUCCCGGUUUCUAGGGGAUGGAGCGAUGUUCUCUCUUACCCUGUUCCAGCUCCUCCGAGUUAAUUUCCAUCACAUUUCUGAGAAGAUUAAGAAUUAAGUGAAGGAAAACUCAGAAAUGGUCCAACAAGUAGCCGUUUGUGAACAGAAGAUCAAUGAAGCGAAGAAACAUGCUCAAGAAACAAAGGGGCAAAAUAAUAUUCUCUGUGAUGAAGUACAUAAAUUUAAGUCCGGAGAUAUGAGUGUAGGAUUCAAGGAUUCCAUGCAGAGAGCCUCAAUACCUAAUAAAUGUACCCUGGAAGAAAGGAAAAAGAAGCUAGAAGACAACUGUGAGGCAUUGAGAUCUGUUAAAGUGGCAAAGAAAUCAAAUUAAAAAUGUUAAAGAACAACAUAGGCAUGAUUGAUGAAAUCUGUGGACAAAGAAAGAUGGUCAAGAGGAGUAAGAUAUUCGCGUGUUGUUACAAAUACUGUUGUGUUAGUGAAUGUGGGGAACAAUGUAGAUAAUUAUAAUUCUUUUAGAAUAUUU